rnacentral:rRNA from 1 species
AGAGUUUGAUCCUGGCUCAGGACGAACGCUGGCGGCGUUAACACAUGCAAGUGGUGCGACGAACCCUUCGGGGGGCAAAGCCCGAACGGGUGAGUAACACGUGGGUAACCUGCCCCGAUGACUGGGACAACCCGGGGAAACCCGGGCUAAUACCGGAUAUGGUGUUCACACUCAAGUGUGAUUAUCAAAGGUAGCUUCGGCUUCCGCAUUGGGAGGGGCCCGCGGCCCAUUAGCUUGUUGGUGAGGUAACGGCUCACCAAGGCUGCGAUGGGUAGCUGGUCUGAGAGGACGAUCAGCCACACUGGGACUGAGACACGGCCCAGACUCCUACGGGAGGCAGCAGUGGGGAAUCUUGCGCAAUGCGCGAAAGCGUGACGCAGCAACGCCGCGUGAGGGAAGACGGCCUUCGGGUUGUAAACCUCUUUCAGUAGGGACGAAGGCCGGCCGGUGAAUAGCCGAGUCGGUUGACGGUACCUUCAGAAGAAGCUCCGGCUAACUACGUGCCAGCAGCCGCGGUAAUACGUAGGGAGCAAGCGUUGUCCGGAAUCAUUGGGCGUAAAGCGCGCGUAGGCGGCCCGAUAAGUCCGUUGUGAAAGUCAAAGGCUCAACCUUUGAAUGCCGAUGGAUACUGUCGGGCUAGAGUCCGGAAGAGGCGAGUGGAAUUCCUGGUGUAGCGGUGGAAUGCGCAGAUAUCAGGAGGAACACCAAUAGCGAAGGCAGCUCGCUGGGACGGUACUGACGCUAAGNNNNGAAAGCGUGGGGAGCGAACAGGAUUAGAUACCCUAGUAGUCC